UUCCCUCUUAGUUUUUCCCAACACUCCACUAAGACCACCCACACCCCCAACCCCAACCGCAAAUAAAAGCAAAAUCCCUCAUGUUAUCUCUGUUGUGCUUUCCCCAACCGACCAUCCGCAACCCUCAAAUAAAAGAAAGAAACACCCUUAUUUUCUAUACAAAAUUUACAGUUACUGAGCACGGAGCAACUCCACGAAGAACCGCAAACGAUUCUGGAAUCCUCACUGCGACUAAUCUUCCGUUUCCAUUGAAGUGGUCUUAUGGUUUCGUUCUCCUUCUCAUCAAGUUAAGUUUUCUGCCAAGUAUCUAAACUUCUAGUUGUAACUGUUGUAGAAUUGAGAAUUCCUUUAUUGUUCCAGUUAUUUCUCUUGGUAUUUAUCAAAUAUAUUGGUUUUUUUCUUAGAAUUGCAUAUUUGCUUAUAUAAUUACAUCCAGCUUUUUAGAGCAUUACGAUUAAUGUGCAGCAGUCGCUUAUUUUUUUCCUCUGACUUAUUGUGCGCCUUUUUUGAUGAUAUAACUAUGGAAAGAGUUAAUGGUAUUAUUUGAUUAAUAUUUUUAGUUAAUUAAACUUAAUAAUUGGGGUUUACCAAAGAUGUUUUUGCUCGCAGUUUCACUAAUAAUUUCACUAUAUUUAUCCCUUAAAUGGGACAAAUCGUUAUGGAGUUUGGGGAUACUAACACCUUCCUAAUACAUAGAGGUUCAUAUUGUUAGUAAAGACGCUACUCAGUAUAAUAUAAAUUUGCUUAAAUAUCUGUGACUUUUAAGGUGUGUCUCUUGAUACUUAAUGUUAUUAGCAAGGUGGCUAUUAUGUGCCCAAUAAAUAGUUGUACUGAUGGAGGUAUCUGAAAGGAGAGGUAUGUGAUCCCUACUUGGUAAAAGAUGAAAGGAUUAUUAGAUAGAAAAGGAGAAGCUACGAUCCAACUUUAAUUGCGAAAUUUGAUCUCUUAUAUUUAAUGCCAAAAAGUCCCUUCCCUUUGCCAAAUCCCCAAUUGCAGGUAAUCGAUUAAGAUGUUUUGCUGGCCUCGUCAGCAAGUUGCAUUCUGGAAAGUCAUAGCACCUUCGCUAGGUAAUCAGUCAACCUUGCUGUAAAGGAAAAUCCUUUGAUUGAUAAAGUAUGAACAGGUAUGUGAGUGUUAAUGUGGUUUAUCUUCCGUGAUUGAACUCCUAAUUGUUUUUCAUCUGUGCUCGCCAUUUAAUUUUUGACACUAGAAUUGUGGUUCAGAUGAUCCACGAAAAUGUAAAAAUGUUUAAUCCCCACAAAUGCACCUCCUUUAUUUCUAUUAAUAUCAGAGUUGUCUACGUCAAUUUAUAAUCUAAUGGUGGAACCAUACGUUUUUACUUUGAAGAGUUUUCUUUAAGUUUUUGGAUAACAAUGGUUUGGUGCAUUUUCUUUUCAAUUAGACAAUACUCAAGUUUGCUAUUCCCUUAUCGUGGUAAAAUAAGGCAUUUUCAAUUUUCACUAUAUAUGCAGUACACUAAGAUAUCAUCAUUUGUUAACAUAGAAAUGCUUAUACGUGGAAAAUGUUAACUUUGAUUGGGCGCCGACACGUUUUAUCAGUUGGUGGUAGCAUUCAGAAAAUCUUGCCACCUACGAGCAACAGGAUUCUCUUGAAGGUCUGCAUUUCAAUAUUGGACAGGAUUCAUGACAAAGAGGGGAGAUCAAGUUUGUCAACCAAAGGUACUUUUUGCUGAGAAUGGAUCUUAUUAUUCUUGUCUAUGCAGGACCUUUUCUGAGGUCUGUUGCUUCGGUAAUGGCUCAUCUUAGAGUAUUGGAAUUUCCAUUUCUAAAAUGUUUUGUGAGAUUCUAGUGUUUGGGUUUAUUCUAACCAAAAGCGGGUUCAUGUCGUGCUUUUCUGUUUUCUUUUGGUACAUCUAGUCGCUCUCACCUUAUGACUCAGAGUCCCACGUUGUUGACAUUGAUAAUUUUGACGAUGAACUUGAGGAAGCUAACACCACUCCUGUGAGUUACUUCUUCACAAAGUCUUUAUGCUCUUGGAUAUAUACUUUCUGGUUGUAUAUCAUGUUAAUUCUCUAUUUUUCCAAUGACAUUUAGCUGAAUUAAAAGCUAAUAAUGAACAUCAAGAAAUUUUAGUGGAGUUUUUUUGCUUUGCGUUUACCGUGAAUUUCUUAGGAUUCAACUUCUGUAUUUCUUGAUCUCCGAAAUAUCUUGCUAGUUGGCUUAGAUUUGGGUUUAGAGGGACAGUUAUUUAAUUAUUUAUUUAUUCUUUCUGCAGUUUUGGAGAGGGGGUUUGGCAUAUACAAGGUAUUCAAUUAUGUGAAGAAUAUGUAACUAAAUGACAAUGGUACUUGUCUCCCACAUAACCUAUCAAGUAAGAAAAAACUGUCAAAUGACUUAGUAUAAUCUUUCUUAAAUCAAGCUUUAUCAAAAGCAAAACUGGAAUAGCUCAUUCUUCAUUCACAUUGGUGCUAAACUAGCUUAAUGGCCCAUUAUUAAGUCAGUCUCCUUGCCACAAUUAAAUGUACCUUUUUUUAAGUCAGUCUCCUUGCUAAAAGCAGUCAGUUUUGGGCAGCACCUCUUAAAUAACAGAGCAAUCAUUUAUAUUUUUUCAAAACUGAAACAUUUGUUGUGGUUUGGUUCUAUUGUACUUGGGGCUGCUGGAAGCUUAGCCUUGUUUAGGACCUGUUUCUUUUUGUUUGUCUAAGCAAACAAUUUUAUUUGCCUAACAUUAGUUUUAGACUAGUCAAACAAUGCAGAGACUAGCUGAUAAUGAAUUAAUCCUACCUUGAAAAAGCUAGUAGAAAAGUCCAUUUCUCCAACACCAAUUUACCAUCAGUUUCUGAGUUUCUAAACUUCAAGAGAUUCGUUGAGAUUUUCUAUCAUUUGUAUUCAUUGUUAAACUUGCAAAUAAUACCUGUAUUAGUUUGUUUAUCAUGUCCUUUAGCUUGAGGAAUUCCUUGCUUUAUUUUUUCCAAACAUAUAGGUUAAAAGUAUAAUGUGAGGAAUUAAGAGAUCAUUUAGGUCCCGACUCUUUUCUGUUAGCAUCUUCUUGGUGUCAAUGAUGUGAAAUACAACAUAAUUAACUUUUUACUAUUCCAUUUCCCUAUACAACUUAAAACUGUUAAAAGCUAAAUUCGAUCUAGCUUUGUCUAAAUUAUAGUAAUCAUUUGCUCCUCGUGUCUCUUGAUUCACUUUCUAUUCCCGAAAAGUCGAAAACUAAGUGAUAAAGGUUUUGUGAAAUCUUCUAAGAUGUUAAUGGGUAAAAGGAUUGGGGUUGGUUGAAUAUAUUUUCCUCACUUUCUAUUAAUGUUCUAUUUUUUUCUGUAGGAUCUUAUAAGCACACCCUCUAUGUGUUCCUGGAGUUUGCGCUACUGUUUGUGAUUGGACUAAUGUAUGCAUAUUUGACUGUCAAUUACCUUUAUGGUUCCUAUCUACACUGGCGGAUAUAAUUGAGCUUUGUCGGAAAAUUACACUGUGUAGCUAGGUAAAAAAAAUUAUUUUUAUGUAUAUAUAUUACAUAUUGACACUUCUUGGCUUUUUCGUGAAUUUACUUCUUUAUAUUUUGACACCACUUAGUGAAAAUUCUGGUUCCGCCACUGCCUAUCUACAUAGGAUUUACCUGGAGAAGCAUGGAAGAUGCAGUUACUGGGUGUAGCUUGUUUGUCACUUGCCUGCUAAAAUGGAGGCGAUUGAAGUUAGUGUAAAGCUACAGGCAAAUGCAUGUUCAUCUUGCUCGUUCUUUUUAGGAGCUGUUUGAAGUUCAAAUUUGUAAAUGCUACAGUGGAGUUAGUAGCCGAAGAAAUAAUUUCACAUAAUCGGAAGAUAUAUGUUUUUUAGCAUUGGGACACUUUAUUUCUUUUGUAAUUAACUAUGAAAUUCUAUAUAAUAAUUGAUUAUUUUCGGAUUA